rnacentral:RNase_P_RNA from 1 species
AGAGCCGGCCAGACAGUCGCUGUGUCCGUUGAGGGCAUGGAGGAAAGUCCGGGCUUCACAGGGCAGGGUGCCAGGUAACGCCUGGGGGGUCUUCACCGAUCCACGGAAAGUGCCGCAGAAAACAUACCGCCGAUGGCCUUUUUCAAGGCACAGGCAAGGGUGAAAUGGUGCGGUAAGAGCGCACCGCGUGACUGGUAACAGUCAUGGCAGGGCAAACCCCACUCGAAGCAAGGCCAAAUAGGGAUGCCACGGCGUGGCCCGCGCUGCAUCCGGGUAGGCUGCUGGAGGCGGUUGGCGACAACCGUCCAAGAUGAAUGACUGUCCACGACAGAACCCGGCUUAUCGGCCGGCUCUCGCU